rnacentral:tRNA from 2 species
GCCGAAGUGGUGGAAUUGGUAGACACAGGGGACUUAAAAUCCCCCGGCCUAUAAAGCUGUGCCGGUUCGAUUCCGGUCUUCGGCA